UACAGAGGGUGCGAGCGUUGUUCGGAAUUACUGGGCGUAAAGCGUGCGCAGGCGGCUUUGCAAGACAGAUGUGAAAUCCCCGGGCUUAACCUGGGAACUGCAUUUGUGACUGCAUGGCUGGAGUGCGGCAGAGGGGGAUGGAAUUCCGCGUGUAGCAGUGAAAUGCGUAGAUAUGCGGAGGAACACCGAUGGCGAAGGCAAUCCCCUGGGCCUGCACUGACGCUCAUGCACGAAAGCGUGGGGAGCAAACAGG
rnacentral:rRNA from 1 species